GUUCAAACGAGGAAGGGCUUAUGGUGGAUACCUAGGCACCCAGAGAUGAGGAAGGGCAUGGUAAGCGACGAAAUGCUUCGGGGAGUUGAAAAUGAGCAUAGAUCCGGAGAUUCCUGAAUAGGUUAACCUUUUUAACUACUGUUGAAUCCAUGGGCAGGCAAGAGACAACCUGGUGAACUGAAACAUCUUAGUAGCCAGAGGAAUAGAAAUCAAAAGCAAUAUCCGUAGUAGCGGCAAGCGAAAUGGGAGCAGCCUAAACCAUGAAAAUGGGGUUGUGGGAGAGCACACUAUAAGCUCUGUGCUGCUAGGCGAAGCGGUUGAGUCCUACACCCUAGAUGGUGCGAGUCUAGUAGCCAAAAUAAUCAUUGGGUUACGCUCUAACCUGAGUAGCAUGGGGCACGUGGAAUCCCGUGUGAAUCAGCAAGGACCACCUUGCAAGGUUAAAUACUCCUGGGUGACCGAUAGCGAAGUAGUACCGUGAGGGAAAGGUGAAAAGAACCCCCAUCGGGGAGUGAAAUAGAACAUGAAACUGUAAU
rnacentral:ncRNA from 1 species